rnacentral:rRNA from 1 species
GAUGAACGCUGGCGGCGUGCCUAAUACAUGCAAGUAGAACGCUGAAGGAGGAGCUUGCUCUUCUGGAUGAGUUGCGAACGGGUGAGUAACGCGUAGGUAACCUGCCUGGUAGCGGGGGAUAACUAUUGGAAACGAUAGCUAAUACCGCAUGACAACAGUUAUUGCAUGAUAACUGUUUAAAAGGGGCAACUGCUCCACUACCAGAUGGACCUGCGUUGUAUUAGCUAGUUGGGGAGGUAACGGCUCACCAAGGCGACGAUACAUAGCCGACCUGAGAGGGGGAUCGGCCACGCUGGGACGGAGACACGGCCCAGACUCCUACGGGAGGCAGCAGUAGGGGAUCGUCGGCAAUGGACGGAAGUCUGACCGAGCAACGCCGCGUGAGUGAAGAAGGUUUUCGGAUCGUAAAGGUCUGUUGUAAGAGAAGAACGAGUGUGAGAGUGGAAAGUUCACACUGUGACGGUAUCUUACCAGAAAGGGACGGCUAACUACGUG